rnacentral:rRNA from 1 species
UACGGGGGGGGCAAGCGUUGUCGUGAAUUACUGGGCGUAAAGGGCGCGUAGGCGGUUUGCUAAGUUGGAUGUGAAAACUCUGGGCUUAACCCAGAGCCUGCAUCCAAAACUGGCAAACUUGAGUACUGGAGGGGAAAGCGGAAUUCCUGGUGUAGCGGUGAAUGCGUUGAUAUCAGGAGGAACACCCAUGGCGAAGGCAGCUCACUGGGACGGUAUUGACGCUGAGACGCGAAAGCGUGGGGAGCAAACAGGG